CUCAGUGCCAGCCAGCUUCAGCUGCAUCUGGUGCCAGUAGUAUUCCAUGUAGGAUAUUAGUGAGAUGGCCAAUCACCGGGCCCUACCUUUCCUCUUAGGACCCAGGUAAGAGCCUUCUGAAAUCUCCUAAGAGCCAACUUGCAAAGUUCCCUCUGGAGCUCAUUAGAAGGAAAGGAAACUUCAUGGUUUUUCUCGGACAGAUUCAGAUCAGCUAAUGAAAAACGGAAGGAAGAGUCAGUCCAGAACAAGAAGCUGUGGAGAUAGAGCAUCCAUCAGGAACCAGUACCUGGUGAUCGCUUGGCUAUUGGAAUCAAUAGCGUGACCAAAGAAAUUCCUGGAAAGUUUUUCAGGAGAAAUCCAAGAAGCUACCUACAGGAGAAGAUUUUGUUUGUGACAAACAGAAAGAGGGCCCUUCACUGACAGACUGCUCAAAGAAAACUCAACAAAAUGCCUGGCCUACCAGGAAGAGGUGGACAGCCAGAGGAAAACUCUGUCCAAGAGCCUGGCCCACCCAGUGCUGCAGAUGACUCAGCCUCGCAGGGCGUCUCAUUCCCGAAGGAGGACCAUGUGAUAAUUGUACCUCGGAUUAUCCUGACUGGUCCUUUGGCUUCAGAUGAAGACUGGAAGCCAGUUCCUCAAGAUCCAGGGGCUUGAGACAGAAGGUGGAGUCAGUGGUGUGUCCUUCUCUGUCUGACUCUUUGAAUAAAGCUUUUCAUUCAUUCUA